GAGUCCCUUGGCAUUCUGAAUACUUUAUCUGCCUUCUUAUAUGCUCACAAAUGGCUAUUGUAAACCAUGUUUUCUCUUCACCAAAAAUACAAAACCAACAGAGAUGCAUGUUUCUCUGCUGAUGCUGGUGAUGCUGCAGGUCUAAGGAGGCUUUCUGGUUAGUGAGGGAGCUGCCCAUAUAUUUUUGUGUACAGAGGAGCUGCUUGCAAGGCUCACUAAUUAGAGGGAAAAUAUUUGAUCUCCAUAGGCUUUUGGUGAAAUAUCUGAGAAAGGCAGCAGAUGUUGCUGAAAUUAUUUUUCAUCUGUUUUCCCCUGUUUUCUUACCAUGUUUCAUCUGUUUUACCCUGUUUUCUUAUGUGGUGCAUCAAAUUAAAAUUCAAUAAACUGCUCAUGGCUGUUUACUGGGGAGUGCAAAAAACUUGCUCUAGAUUAAAGCUGGUGCCUCAUCCAGAGCAGAGUAUGUGCACUCACCCCAGCAUCCCUCUGCCUUCUGAAAGCCACAGAUUACCCAGAGCCCUCAGCAAGGAGUUGUCAGACUACCCAAAAUGUGUUGUAGCGCAGCUAGCCCAUAUUUCUUCAUGGGGUCUGAUGUCAUCCUGGCAAGUACAGCAUCUAGAUGAUAUGGAUUUGUAAGGAUCUGCCUUGUAUUACUCAUUUUCCCAGUAGUUCAGCUCUCUGAUAGCCAGAAAGCUUCUAAUCAGGCUCCUCAAUCCAAAAAGAAAACCAGCAGAGAUGUAGGACAGUCUUGAUGACCAUCCACGACGUCUCGUGGAGGAACCUGACUUCUUCUGAGUGGCUUCAGGUGAGGGAAUUUUGAAGACAAGAACCUGAAUCCAGGUGUGAUCUCUUCAGUUCUAAGAGGCUGGAGAGACUGAAAGCUGCAUUUUGGAAGUUUUAGCCCUUGGACAUGGUGUGUCCUACAUCACGGGCAGCACCAUUCAGAGAGCAACCACAGACCUGUCUCUCUGGAGAACCAGUCCAAGGAUCCACAGAGAAUCACUUACACAGACUGGACAUCAAACGCUGUCUCAAAUCCAAAACCACGUGGUUUUGGUUGUAGAGUCAAAGCAAGCAUCUUUAUGAGUUUGCUUGUCUUAUUUCGACCCAAAAUCAUCUACAGGACACUGCAUUCAGGCCCACUGGACAGGUCAGUUAAUUAUGUUGAGUGAGUCAAUAGAUGGAUCAGUUUAUCAAAUGAUAAAUAGAGAUUCUGCUUUCAUCAGGGUAGUGAACAUUAAUUGAUUUGACAGGCAGAAGCUUGGUAAAACAAGUAGAAGUUGCAUCAGGGCAUCACUGUAUUAAUUAGCCAUGUUGAAGCUGCUUUUAGCUGCUUCCGAAGUUUAAUCAAUAUGCUACAUUUGAGUCCCAAAAGGCUUAUGGAAACAGCCUUUGAAAUCCUCUAAAUUGCUGCCUCUGUGAGGUUUUAGACUCUUUACUUAUUCUUGUUCUGCUGUUUUUCUUCCUUAUUUUUUUCUCCCUCCUGCAAUCAAUAGUGACCCACAAGAAUUGGUAGGGGUGGGUUUUCUUAUUUGUAUCACAAAUUUGCAUUGGCUAGGAACAGAAAUGAAAUGAGAAAGAUCUUCUGUUUUAGUACAAUAAUAGUAAUAAUCCUGGACAUUAAUGAGCUGCCCUCUGUCUUCCAGUUUCUAUAUGCAGUAAAUUACCUCUAUAGACUUAAUCUGAUGUGAAUGAGCAAGGCACCAGUUAAAUCAUGUUUUCCUGAGCCCUCGCAUACUGCUCAGACUUUGAUUUAAUACAAAGUAAGGUUUGAGCUUGCUGAUAUGUUUUACUGAGCGGGAGGAAGGAGAAGGUGGAGCUGGAAACGAGGCCAGAGAAUUAAAAUGCAGAGAAGGGGAUGGAGGCCCUGAGACUGCUGAGUGCAGGAGUGGUUGUCUAGGACUGCCCUGGUGGCAUCCAUGCCACUGGCCAGCUUUAUGUGUGUAUGGGAACUGCUGAGUCCCAGCCUGAUUGAGCACCUGGGGAAAGCACGUGGGGAAAGCACCUGGGAGCACAGGUGAAGGCAAUGCAUCUGUGUGACUGGAAGUGGUGGAACCUCUCUUCGACCUCAUUGAAGGGCUGACUGCCGCUGGGGAAGGAUCUCUCUCUGGAGGUCCCUCCUUGGUGGAACUUUCCCAUGCAAACCUGGAAUCUUCUGAUAUGGCCUAGGUUGGCCAGUACCUGUUGAAGCAACCUUUGCUGCCUCAGUUAAUCCCUGCCACAGUUGCAGCAGAUGGAAGCUCCUCUAGAAGGUGACUUAAGGAGACUCUGUUGACAUUCAGGCCUGCAUGUCUUUCCCAUUUAAGUGUCCCCUUGUCUUUCUCUUUCUUCUACACCUUUAUCCAAAGGACCAUGGAUGUGACUGCAGUCUGCAUGCUGUAGGGUGCGUCUCAGAGGGAUCUUCAUUCCUCCCACCUGUGAUGCAGAGGUCCCAAUUUUGAGCUAUUCUACCCACCUCUUUCCAUCACACAGAUGUCCUCAGAUCUGGUGACACAGCUAAAUCCUCUUUCCGUGUGGGAUGGCAGAGACCCUUGAAGUGCUUGGUGGUGUGCUGAGGAAGGUUCUUGGAUCCCAAAGCAAGAAGCAAAGCCACUUGGCUUUGAAAAGAGGUGCGGAAAAGCUUAAGGAAUUAACGAGGACUACUGGGAAAUCACUCACCAGGAACUUUCAGUGCUCUCAAUUCAGGAAAGAAAUAGGAAGAAAAUCCUUUAUGUGCACUUCUUUUUCUCCCAACAAGAAUAUAUCUGUCAAGAGAAACAGAUGUUCUCUAUGAAAAAUCUUCUUUAAUUACAAGUCUGUCAAAAGGAGGUUGAACAGGAGCAAAGCCACUAGCCAAAACACAGUGACAAACCCGCAACCGGCAGCUGAAAGCUCCUUAUCCAGAGCUCAGGACAUCUGCACAUCACACCAAAUGUUGCAUAAUAAAAGAAGAAUGUCUGAAAUCUUACACUUUCAGAAAUCUUCACGUGUCUCAAGCCUCAAAUCUGUGAAUGGUUUCAGCCCCAGGCAGGAAAUUGCCCCUUUCCUGAGCAGCUCCUGUGCCCUUCUUCAGCUCUUGUCAUCCCUGCAGCUGCACCGAUAAACUGGGAAUUUCUGGAGUUUAAUUUUCAGAUGAGCCCGCUUCAAAUCAAUGGAGCUGCUGCUUUUUGUGACUCCUGGGAAGGAGAUGGCAUGGAAACAACCCACAGCCAUGCCCAAAUAAGAAAACUAAAAGAAUUAUUGGUUUUGGUCAACCUGGAACAUGGCUCUUUUUUUGCCCUGACAUUUUCCUAGAGGAAAGUGAAACUCUUCAUCUACAGAUUCAAAAGAAUCCCAAAGGCGCUCUGUCAGACAUCUCCCAGCGUGCUCUCAGUUAUUGCUGGAUGGAUCACAAGCUCUCCAGGGAGCAGUGAAGAUGUUUUUGUGGGUUGCAAAACCCAGGUCAAAGCUCAAAGCUGAAAAUACUUAAUUCCAGUGUCUGCUUCUUGCUUCCAGAGGAGCUAUCUGCUUGUUGUCUUUGUCUUCACCGUCUUCAUCUUUGUCUUUGCUUUCUCUUUGUCUUCCUUCUCUUUUUUUUUCUCU